ACUCAGAUAGUUUAAAAUAAAAAUAUUGAUUUGUGGUGUCAAAGAAAUACUAAAGUAUUCUGAGUU
rnacentral:tRNA from 1 species